UGGGGGAUAUUGCACAAUGGGCGAAAGCCUGAUGCAGCGACGCCGCGUGGGGGAUGAAGGCCUUCGGGUUGUAAACUUCUUUUGCUCUGAACAAGGCGCACCAUGGGGUGUGUUGAGUGUAGGGGUUGAUUAGCGCCGGCUAACUACGUGCCAGCAGCCGCGGUAAUACGUAGGGCGCGAGCGUUGUCUGGAAUUAUUGGGCGUAAAGGGCUUGUAGGUGGCUGGUUGCGUCUGUCGUGAAAGCUCAUGGCUUAACUGUGGGUUUGCGGUGGGUACGGGCUGGCUUGAGUGCAGUAGGGGAGGCUGGAAUUCCUGGUGUAGCGGUGGAAUGCGCAGAUAUCAGGAGGAAUACCGGUGGCGAAGGCGGGUCUCUGGGCUGUUACUGACACUGAGGAGCGAAAGCAUGGGGAGCGAACAGG
rnacentral:rRNA from 1 species